rnacentral:rRNA from 1 species
ACGACUCUCGACAACGGAUAUCUCGGCUCUCGCAUCGAUGAAGAACGUAGCGAAAUGCGAUACUUGGUGUGAAUUGCAGAAUCCCGUGAACCAUCGAGUCUUUGAACGCAAGUUGCGCCCAAAGCCGUUAGGCCGAGGGCACGUCUGCCUGGGCGUCACG